GACGAACGCUGGCGGCGUGCUUAACACAUGCAAGUCGAACGGAAAGUCCCUGCUUUUGUGGGGUGCUCGAGUUGCGAACUGGUGAGUAACACUUGAGUAACCUGCCCUUGACUUUGGGAUAUCUUCAUGAAACUUGGUCUCAUACCGGAUAGGAUCUCUUGCUUCUUGGUGGGGGUUGGAUAGUUUCGGCGGUUGGGGAUGGACUCGCGUCUUAUCGGCUUGUUGGUGGGGUAGUGUCUUACCAUGGCUUUGACGGGUAGCAGGGCUGAGAGGGUGACCGGACAAAUUGGGACGGAGAUGAGGCACAGACUCGUACGGGACGCAGCGGAGGAGAAUAGUACAUAAUGGGCGGAAGGAAGGUGCAGCAAAGCAGCGUGCGGGAUGAGGGGAAUCGGGUUGUAAACCAAAUUCGCCUGUGACGAAGCGUGAGUGACGGUAAUGGGUAAAGAAGCACCGGCUAACUACGUG
rnacentral:rRNA from 1 species